GACGUAGGGCGCGAGCGUUGUCCGGAUUUAUUGGGCGUAAAGAGCUCGUAGGCGGCUUGUCGCGUCGUCCCGUGAAAACCCACAGCUCAACUGUGGGCGUUGCGGUCGAUACGGGCGAGGCUAGAGUUCGGUAGGGGAGACUGGAAUUCCUGGUGUAGCGGUGGAAUGCGCAGAUAUCAGGAGGAACACCGAGUGGCGAAGGCAGAUCUCUGGGCCGUAACUGACGCUGGAGGAGCGAAAGCAUGGGGAGCGAACAG
rnacentral:rRNA from 1 species